rnacentral:rRNA from 1 species
UGCAAGUCGAGGGGCAGCGCGGGGCGGCAACGUCCUGGCGGCGACCGGCGGAAGGGUGCGUAACGCGUGAGCGACAUGCCCGUUGCCCGGGGACAACCGGUGGAAACGCCGACUAAUCCCCGAUGGGAUAUUGUGCCGCAUGGCACGAUAUUGAAAGUUACGGCGGCGACGGAUUGGCUCGCGUCUGAUUAGCUUGUUGGCGGGGUAACGGCCCACCAAGGCUACGAUCGGUAGGGGUUCUGAGAGGAAGGUCCCCACAAUGGAACUGAGACACGGUCCAUACUCC